UAGUCCAUAGUAAGGGGGUAGCAAAUAAAUUUGCCGCGCGUUAAGAUCUCGUCUUUGUGUGUUAAACGUCAGUGUUAGUGCAGUUGCUGUUACAUCGUUGGCGGACAGGGUUCUCCCCUUUACCUCCUCCCCUGAAUCCACUCGACAUCCAUUUUCCGUUUCGAAUAUAAAUAAAAUAAACCAUUACAGGCUUUUUGCGUGUUUCCUGAGGCGUGACGACGAAGUAAGUAUGGAAAUAUUUUUAAAAAAUUGUAUUUUAUACUUACUCGAACCCAUCUGGAUUUCAUAAAAAUAAAAACUUCGGUGAUAUUUUCCACGUGAAUAUUACGUUGUCUCUG